rnacentral:rRNA from 1 species
AUGUUUCGGGCGGCUUCCCAGGCCAGGAUCCUCAAGCCCAUCAGGGCGCGAACGGCCUCCUGCAGGGUUUCUCUCUAUGCAGACGAUGCGGGCAUCUUCGCUAACCCGGUCAAAGAAGAGAUCGACGCCAUCACUAGGAUCCUGGCCUGUUUUGGGGAUGCAUCGGGCCUCGUCACAAAUGUCAGCAAGACCGAGGUGUUCCCCAUUCGCUGUCAGGACAUCGAUCUCCCGGCAAUCCUCUCAGCCUUCCCGGCCAAGCUGUCCUCGUUCCCCGGCCGAUACCUAGGUCUCCCACUACAUACCAGGCGGCUCAGAAGGGUUGACCUCCAACCUCUUCUAGACAAGGCAAUGGGCCGGUUGCCGGGAUGGAAGGGGAAGAACCUGGCGCGACCGGGCAGGGUCUCCCUUGCAAAGUCCGUAUUGUGCGCCAUCGCAAAUCAUCACCUCACUGCGCUCUCGCUUCCCACUUGGGCAAUCCAGAAGCUUAGUAAGAUCACUCGUAACUUCAUCUGGUGUGGGGAAGACUCGGAAAACACGUCUGGCGGACAUUCUCUGGUCAACUGGAAUACUGUCUGCCGGCCUAAGCCCAUGGGGGGCCUGGGAAUCACUGACCUCGAGAGAUUUGGUCGGGCGCUCCGUCUGCGCUGGCCUUGGCUUAUGUGGACUGAUCCUGGCCGCCAAUGGGUGGGCUCUGCGGUGCCCUGCGAUGAGACGGAUAUGGCGCUCUUCAGGGCUUCUACCACCAUCUCCUUGGGCAAUGGGAGAAAAUCCUUAUUCUGGCACGACGACUGGACAGGACGGGGCCCCCUGUCCCGGGCCUUCCCGGAGCUGUAC